UAGUGUGAAAAUUUUACAUGGCUGUGAAUUUUGGUUAAUGGAUUUGGUAGUGAAAGCAGUGACGUUGACUUAGCCUUCCACGUAGCUUACAGCAAAGGCGGUUCUGCAUCAUUAAGGAGAUUGCAGCAGCUAAUGGUGAACGAAAACAGCCUAUUCAAAAGUACAUAUCUGAUCUCUGGGGCUAAAGUGCCCCUCAUCACUUUCGAGCAUCGGGUACUGCAGGUGUUCGGCGACAUCACAACUACUCAAAACGACCAUCCUUUUGUACAGUCGAAAAUGAGUUACUUUUAUUCUCUAUUCAAUCCAUCUAUUGUGCCAGUAUUCGCAAUUAUUAAGCAAAUCUUACAGAAGUUUAAAAUAACAGCCUCCUACAAGCCCGGUUAUCUGACUACAUUUCAAAUCAGUGUCAUUUACUUCUGUUAUUUGAUGCACAAAAAAGUUAUUCCUCCGUUUAAUGAAGUAUUAUCGCUUUUUAAAAAUCGUGAUUUGGGAGACAUUUUACCAUGUCAGAUGGAGAAUUUCACAGCUGCUCGAAUAGAAACAGAGGAUUUGUUCUAUGGAUUUUUUGAAUUUAUUGCCGAGUUUGAUUUUGAGAGCAAAAAAAUUGACGCUAGCACAGGUACUGUAAGAUCAAAAUCGUUUUUGGAUGCUAAUAAAACCAGCGCAUUGAUUGUUGCGAAUCCCCUUGACGUUGACCAUAACGUAUGUCGUUCAGCUUCCAAGUCGAAUUUGGAAGAUUUUCAAAAGGUUUCGAAGAUUAUCGCAGAGAGGCCGUGUCAUAGCUUAGAUGAUUACAUGAAUCUGCCUUCGUUGAAAACGAUAAACAACCAGGAAUCAAACAAUAGAGGUGCCGCAAAGUUGAUUGAUCGAGUUAAAAACUCAUUUAAACUGAAAUUUUGAAAUACAGUAUUGAAAUACAAUUUUUCUAUUCAUUCAACGAUUCAUAAACCA